rnacentral:lncRNA from 1 species
AUCCCAAUUGUUAUUACAUAUAAAAGUAUCCAAGGGUUUUCUAAUAUCUUCUUCUAUCUUCUCCGCCGAAAACUCUAUUUCUUCUGCUGAGAAAUGUUGGCCUUCACUGUGUUCAACUUGUUCUUAAUGUACUUGUUCUAUUUCCUCUGCUGAGAAAUGUUGGCCUUCACUGUGUUCAACUUGUUCUUAAUGUACUUGUUGUGGAUUAUGAAUAGAGUACUAUGGAUUGAAGCUGCUACUUUGUAUAUCAACUCCCAAAAGUCA